GUCCACGCCGUAAACGAUGGAUGCUAGCCGUUGGCGGGUUUACUCGUCAGUGGCGCAGCUAACGAAUUAAGCAUCCCGCCUGGGGAGUACGGUCGCAAGAUUAAAAACUCAAAAGGAAUUGACGGGGGCCCCGCACAAGCGGUGGAGCAUGUGGUUCAAUUCGAAGCAACGCGAAGAACCUUACCAGCCUUUGACAUGCCUCGUAUGGUCGCCAGAGAUGGCUUCCUUCCCGCAAGGGGCAGAGCACAGGUGCUGCAUGGCUGUAGU
rnacentral:rRNA from 1 species